UUUGCACAUAUUUUUUUGAGAGAAAAGUUCGAAGGAGAGAGAGGAAAGGUAGGUAGAGUUCCUAUACUGUUUAAGUGGAAAAUCAGAAUUAUUGUGUGCAAUGAUUUAUACGUACAUUCUUUUGUACAAAAUGCAAAAUGCAGCAUUCAUAAAUACAAAUAUGAAAACAUGUUUGAAAUGACACAACAUGAACAACUUGCAUUUGGCCUUGUUUUUAUUUCUCAAUUUUAUUUCAUAGACAUGUGGGUGCUAGUAAAAAAAAAAAAAAAAUCUGCCGUAAUUCAAGUAUCGACAUAACCAGGGUCCAUUAUAAUAUUAAGAUAGAAAAAAAAAAAAACACAGAACAUGAAAUACAAUGUAUAUUUUGGUAAAUCAGACAUGAAUGUGGACUGACAGAUUACACAAUAUUUCACACUUCGAUUUUAAACCAAAUGCAUUCCAGUCAUCAACCAAAUGCAGCUAUGAAAUGCAAAAAUUAAUAACAACAAUAAUAAUAAUAAUAAGAAGAAGAAAAUAUUCAUGGCACGAAUCUUUUCUUUUCUUUCUUUUUUAAACAUGUAACAGCUUCCUUCAUCCAUGUGUAUCAGUUAAUAAUUUUUUUUCCACCUCUGAUUAUAUCUGAUCUUGUGAUGAUUCCUCAUCCAAAUGAUUAAAAAUCCCGUUAUAGUAAAAAUCCCAGCCAAUUUAUUCAGAUGAAUCAGAUGAAUGGUUUUACACAACAAUGUGGGCAGUGGUGUUUGACAGAUGUUGCUGGUUUUUCGUAAUCAUUUAUAACAGUACUUAGCUGCUGUAGGAUGAUAUCCGUGAAGGUAAUGUUUGGAUUUUAUUUAGUUAUAAUGUAGUAGAGCCUACCACUUAAAUAAUUGAAUUUUCUAAGGUUGAAGUCAUAGAUAUUGUGUCACAAUACCAUAGAUGUUACGGACAAUGUUACAGAACCAAUCACAAGACACCUUAAAAUCAAAAUACACUAUACAGUAUAAUAAUCACAUUUCUAAUUCUAACAACUUGGUAUCACGCCCAGGUUAUUCACACCACACAGUUAUGGCUUGGUGGCAAAUGAUUACCAAUGCAGCAUGUUACAAAUACUGACACUAUUGAGGUAUUUAUCACUCAUGGAUUUAGAAAUACCUAUGAUGGUAUAUGUAUACACAUACACACAGAGUAUAACCACUACUCUAUGAAAUCUGUUUCUCCUUAAGAUCUUAAAGAGUGCUGAGAAACUAUUCAUAAGACACAAUUUGGUGUGCAGUAUUGUUCCACUUAUUGAAGUUUUUGUGGUCCCGAAUUUCCAAAAUUUGCAAUACAAACCUAUAAACAAUACACUAAAAUCUUACAUUAAAUGUUUCUCUCUUAGGUGAUUCAUAGAAUAACACUUUCAUAUACAAACACUGUGUAAUAAUAGCCUAAUACUUAAUAUUAUAUUAAAUACCUAAUAGUACCAUCUGUUAAGGCAGGACAAAUAUAACUCUAACUGGACCAAAUGAUAGGUAUUGUAAAAUUCAUUGAUAAUUUAUACUUUCUGUUGAUUAAAAAAACCUAAUUACCAGAAAUGAAUGCUUCAUUGGCAUGUUAGAUGUUCUUGCAGAUCUGUUGCAUUGCAUGAACUCAUACAAACUGGCCCAAAUCACUGCUACAUGAAGAGCUGCCUAACACAAGUUGGCUGCAUAAAUUUUGCAUGAAUAUUCUGAGGUCAUGAUUUAAUAAAUACUAACCGUAUUAUCAAAAAAACACAUUUGAUCAAAGCAGCUUAGGAUAAGCAGCUUAUAAUAAGAUAUGUUGCAAGAAUCUCUCUGACGUAGUGGAUCCAUAUCUCUUUACUGUUUGUAUUUCUUUGAAUACAGUUAUAAUUGAACCCUUUCAGGCUGCUAGCCUCACUCUGAUAACAGCCAAAAAUCAGAAGCUUGUUUUUCCAAAAUACAGCACUGCUACUCAUAACAUAGAACUACAGUACCCUCCACUAAUAUUGGCACUCUUGGUAAAUAUGAGCAAAGAAUGCUAUGAAAAAUUUUAUUUAUUGUUUAACCUUUUGAAUUUUUGUUAAAAAUAAUUCACAAAGCUACUCUGCUCUCAUGGAUAUCAAACAAUUGAAAACAAAACACAGGUUUAUCACACAAAAAAUCUUUGUUAAAUAUAGAAAUGCAACAAUUAUUGACACCUUUUUAGUCACCUCCCUUUUUAGCUACCUCCCUUUACCAAGAUAACAGCUCUGAGUCUUCUCCUUUAAUACUUGAUGAGAUUGGACAAUACAUGGCAAGUGAUCUGAGACCAUUCCUCCAUACAGAAUCUCUCCAUAUCCUUCAAAUUUCGAGCUCCACGCUGGUGGACUCUCCUCUUCAGUUCACCCCACAGGUGUUUUCUAUGGGUUUCAAGUCAGGGGACUGGGAAGGCCAUGGCAGGACCUUGAUUUUGUGGUCAGUUUUGGAUCAUUGUCCUGCUGGAAGAUCCAACCAUGACCAAUUUUAAACUUUCUGGCAGAGGAAGUCAGGUUUUAAUUUAAUAUCUGCUGAUAUUUCAUAGAUCCAUGAUGCCAUGUAUCCUAACAACAUGUCCAGGUCCUCUGGCAGAAGAACAGCCCGAAACCAUUAAAGAGCCACCAGCAUAUUUAACCGUGGGCAUGAGGUACUUUUCCAUAAGGCUACCUCUCUAUGUGCAUCAAAACCACCUCUGGUGUUAAUUGUCAAAAUGCUCUAUUUUGGUUUCAUCUGACCAUAGAACCCGAUCCCAUUUGAAUUACCAGUAGUGUAUGUUUUUGCAUGAGAGUAGAUGAUUUUUUCUUGAAACCUUUCCAAACAACUUGUGGUGAUGGAGGUGACUUCAGAUUGUAGUUUUGGAGACUUUCUGACCCCAAGAUGCAACUAACUUCUGCAGUUCUCCAGCUGUGAUCCUUGAAGAUUUUUUGAGACAAUAUAGACACACCUCUUCUUUCAGCUUAAUUCAUAACAUUUCCAGUGGACUGGAACUUUUUAAUUAAUGCCCUGAUGGUGGAAACUGCCAUUUUCAAUGCUUGUGCUAUUUUCUUAUAGCCACUUCCCAUUUUGUGAAGCUCACAACCUUUUGCCACACAUCACUGCUAUAGUCCUUGGUCUUAUCCAUCAGUAUGAAUGAGGGAAUUUGGCCUGUGUUACCUCAUAUUUAUACCCCUGUGAAACAAGAAAUCAUGGUUGAACUAGUUCCUAGGUGUACUAAAAAUGUUUUUAAAUAUCAGUGGGAAUAUACUUCAAAUAUAGAUUUCUCAUAUGAAUUCAUAGGGGUGCCAAUAAUAUAUAUAUGUGUAUAAUAUAUAUACAAUAUAUAUGUGUGUGUGUGUGUGUGUGUAUG
ensembl:lncRNA